GACAGAGGGUGCAAGCGUUGUUCGGAAUUAUUGGGCGUAAAGGGCGCGUAGGUGGCCAUGUAAGUCAACUGUGAAAGCCCAGGGCUUAACCCUGGAAGUGCAGCUGAUACUGCGUGGCUUGAGUCUCGGAGAGGAUGGUGGAAUUCCCAGUGUAGAGGUGAAAUUCGUAGAUAUUGGGAGGAACACCGGUGGCGAAGGCGACCAUCUGGACGAAGACUGACACUGAGGCGCGAAAGCGUGGGGAGCAAACAGG
rnacentral:rRNA from 1 species